rnacentral:tRNA from 1 species
GCAGUCGUAGCUCAGACCGGCCAGAGCACCGGAGUUCUAAUCCGGAGGGACGGAGGUUCGAUGCCUCCCGGCUGCA